GAUGAACGCUAGCGGCAGGCUUAAUACAUGCAAGUCGAGGGGCAACAGGGGUAGCAAUACCUGCUGGCGACCGGCAAACGGGUGCGGAACACGUACAGAACCUUCCUCUGAGUGGGGGAUAGCCCGGAGAAAUCCGGAUUAACUACCCCAUAGUAAUAUUGGUUGGCAUCAACUGAUAUUUAAAGAUUUAUUGCUUAGAGAUGGCUGUGCGGCUGAUUAGGUAGUUGGNGGGGUAACGGCCCACCAAGCCAGCGAUCAGUAACUGGUGUGAGAGCACGACCAGUCACACGGGCACUGAGACACGGGCCCGACUCCGUACGGGAGGCAGCAGUAAGGAAUAUUGGUCAAUGGACGCAAGUCUGAACCAGCCAUGCCGCGUGAAGGAUGAA
rnacentral:rRNA from 1 species